rnacentral:rRNA from 1 species
GACGAACGCUGGCGGCGUGCUUAACACAUGCAAGUCGAACGGAAAGGCCCUGCUUUUGUGGGGUGCUCGAGUGGCGAACGGGUGAGUAACACGUGAGUAACCUGCCCUUGACUUUGGGAUAACUUCAGGAAACUGGGGCUAAUACCGGAUAGGAGCUCCUGCUGCAUGGUGGGGGUUGGAAAGUUUCGGCGGUUGGGGAUGGACUCGCGGCUUAUCAGCUUGUUGGUGGGGUAGUGGCUUACCAAGGCUUUGACGGGUAGCCGGCCUGAGAGGGUGACCGGGCACAUUGGGACUGAGAUACGGCCCAGACUCCUACGUGAGGCAGCAGUGGGGAAUAUUGCACAAUGGGCGGAAGCCUGAUGCAGCAACGCCGCGUGCGGGAUGACGGCCUUCGGGUUGUAAACCGCUUUCGCCUGUGACGAAGCGUGAGUGACGGUAAUGGGUAAAGAAGCACCGGCUAACUACGUG